rnacentral:rRNA from 1 species
GACUCAGUGAAAUUGAACUCGCUGUGAAGAUGCAGUGUACCCGCGGCAAGACGGAAAGACCCCGUGAACCUUUACUAUAGCUUGACACUGAACAUUGAGCCUUGAUGUGUAGGAUAGGUGGGAGGCUUUGAAGUGUGGACGCCAGUCUGCAUGGAGCCGGCCUUGAAAUACCACCCUUUAAUGUUUGAUGUUCUAACGUGGACCCGUGAUCCGGGUUGCGGACAGUGUCUGGUGGGUAGUUUGACUGGGGCGGUCUCCUCCUAAAGAGUAACGGAGGAGCACGAAGGUUGGCUAAUCCUGGUCGGACAUCAGGAGGUUAGUGCAAUGGCAUAAGCCAGCUUGACUGCGAGCGUGACGGCGCGAGCAGGUGCGAAAGCAGGUCAUAGUGAUCCGGUGGUUCUGAAUGGAAGGGCCAUCGCUCAACGGAUAAAAGGUACUCCGGGGAUAACAGGCUGAUACCGCCCAAGAGUUCAUAUCGACGGCGGUGUUUGGCACCUCGAUGUCGGCUCAUCACAUCCUGGGGCUGAAGUAGGUCCCAAGGGUAUGGCUGUUCGCCAUUUAAAGUGGUACGCGAGCUGGGUUUAGAACGUCGUGAGACAGUUCGGUCCCUAUCUGCCGUGGGCGCUGGAGAACUGAGGGGGGCUGCUCCUAGUACGAGAGGACCGGAGUGGACGCAUCACUGGUGUUCGGGUUGUCAUGCCAAUGGCACUGCCCGGUAGCUAAAUGCGGAAGAGAUAAGUGCUGAAAGCAUCUAAGCACGAAACUUGCCCCGAGAUGAGUUCUCCCUGACCCUUUAAGGGUCCUGAAGGAACGUUGAAGACGACGACGUUGAUAGGCCGGGUGUGUAAGCGCAGCGAUGCGUUGAGCUAACCGGUACUAAUGAACCGUGAGGCUUAACCUUACAACGCCGAAG